GUUCCUUGUCCUCCAGGAGCUUACAAUAUAAUGAUUGUCUGUAGACUUUCUCCCCAUUAGACUGUGAGCUCCUUGAGAGCAAGGAAA
rnacentral:pre_miRNA from 1 species